CGCGCACCUAGCAGAUGCAGAUCUGUUCGACUUUUCGUCGCAGAAAUUUCUUUCUUCUAGUAAUUUAAACAGCUUAUGUGAUGUUUGACAGUGAAGCUGACUUGUUCGCUAGUUCCCCAGCUCAAGAGCCAGCCACCCCAGACACAGGUAACAGUGAUAACAGUGACUUUAAACCCCAGCUUACCGCAGGGCCAGGAUUUUGAUUGGGGGCAUUGGGGUCCAUCUUCAAGUCAGGUGUCCACCAUUCCACCAUCAACAUCAGAGCCACCAGUACCUCUUACACCGGAUGUGAUUUUCAUCAGCUCAGAUUCUGACACUGACAGUUCACAGAAACAGGUAUGAACAAGAUGAUAACUUUGCUUUUAUAUAUUUUUAAAAUUGAAAGAUAUGUAUGGUAGUGUAUACCAAUGUGGUAGAAACAUGACAAAUUGGGGCUGCCAGCAUUAAAAAUAAAACAUUUGAGUUUUAAGCCUGUUGGCUGUUGCAUGAAUAGAGCCACUUGAUGCUGGCUUAAGGAACAUUGGUGGUUCUACCCCGGUACUCUCUCAUGCUUUAAGUAAUGCCUGAUGGGGCACCUGAGGUCUUCCUCCACCAAUAAAGCUGGAAAGUUGCCAUAUA